rnacentral:rRNA from 1 species
UACGGAGGAUGCGAGCGUUAUCCGGAUUUAUUGGGUUUAAAGGGUGCGUAGGCGGGCUUUUAAGUCAGCGGUAAAAAUUCGGGGCUCAACCCCGUCCGGCCGUUGAAACUGGGGGCCUUGAGUGGGCGAGAAGAAGGCGGAAUGCGUGGUGUAGCGGUGAAAUGCAUAGAUAUCACGCAGAACUCCGAUUGCGAAGGCAGCAUACCGGCGCCCAACUGACGCUGAAGCACGAAAGCGUGGGUAUCGAACAGG